GCCGCGGUGGCCGAGCUGGUUAAGUCAGUGGACCAAGACACCAUUAAACAACCCUCUUCCACCGUUCGCGCCCUAUACCUGGGUUCAAUUCCCAGGCCCAGCA